UCUAUAUAACAAAGGGUUGGUUGGAUUCCACACAAGCUACGAAAUUGCAGCAAUCUGGGAGAGAGGUUAGCUGAUUAAUUAAUACUGCUUCCAGCUAGCUGCCUUUGUUUGGCGUCUCAGAACUGAAAUCCUAUUCCUGGGACGAUACUUUAUUUCAACUACCCAAACACGGUUAUCAAUUUUUGUUAUCAACUCCCAAGUCAGUCUCUCAAUUUACAUAUAGUUUGCAAGAAGCAAAGUAGAGUUACCAGCAAGAACAUGAGAAAUUAACAAGGGAAAUUCCUUUGUAAAUGUCAAGGAAUUGAACGUGAAAUAGUGAAUUGAACAAAAACGGUUAUUAAUUUCCAAGUCAGUCCAUGGAUUUACUUGUAGUUUCAAAGAAGCAGAGAAGAGUUACAAGCAAAAAACAUGGCAGCAUAAAAUCCCAUGUAUAACUACAUGCAAUCAGUAGCAACAAUCGCAAAGGUUACCUCAAUUCUAUGGUGUUUGAGUUGUUCGGAUUCCACGAACCUGGUGACUUUAAAGAUCAAAUUGCAGCAAUCAGAAAGGUUAGCUGAAGAGUAAAGAAACGAGGACUGAAGGCAAUAUUGUUUCGGGUAUCAUAUGUCGGAAUAGGAGCUUGGAAAUUUC
rnacentral:lncRNA from 1 species